UGUAACCCAAUGCAGUGAGUUCACCUCUUAAUGAGUGCAAACCCAGUAAGCACAACCAGGAGGUAAGAGUGGAGAGAGAAUCAUUACUUGCAGCAGACAGGAUCUUGCUAUGCAGCCCAGGCUGACCUCAAACUCAUGGCAAUCCUCCUGCCUCAGCAUCCCAAGUGCUGGGAUCACAGGUCUUUUUGUGUCUUGUGCAGUCUCCUGGGUGUUAUGGACCUGGUGAGGUGUCAGCAACAAAGUAGUGAAGAAUGGAUGUCAUCGCACUGACAGUGCAAGAGGAGAGAACCCUUGCUGUAUGGCCUCCAUAGGCAAUCCUCCUUUUCUAGGGACAAUGUAUGCAGCCCAGUGUAAGCUGCCUCCCAAAAUAAAAAUUCUGCAUCUACCAUUGGCCCUCUAUUUGUAAAUUAGGAAACACAUCUCCCU
ensembl:lncRNA